CUGCCAGGCAGGUGUUAGUUGUGUGAUCUCCGAUCGAUCAAAGGACCGAUUCCUCCAGUUCAUACGUGCCUUGAUCGGGCGUGCGCCUGCCGUUCACUGGUAGUGGCCCCCCUCUCACACAGCACAAUAUAUAUAAAGUCAAAGGGACACGCCGGGGCACACGGUCCAAAGAUCGCCGUCCCAUGGUGCCCCACAAAAUCCUAGACUCCGCUGAAGAGAGGGGAUAAGCCCACUGCACCAUCGCCGCCUCUACAACAUCUUCCCCGCCGUACUCCAACCUCCACAGCGGCGCCAUGGCAGGAAGUCCAAGUUGCAAAUAAACAAGCAAUCGAUGUCAAGGAGACAACGACUCCGGAAGGCCAUUGGUUCAGAGAAGAUUGCAGGAACCUACUCUAUCCGUCAUUGCAAACCUCCUGCCUGGACCAUUGUAAACCUCCUGCCUGGACUACACAUCUACAAUCUACGCCAGCACAUCUACAGUAAGCCUGCAACUACAUCAAGCAGGCAUGUUGUCUUCAGCUGCCCAUGAGGCAUCUACGUCUCUCAGGUCAGAUGAUUAAGAUCUUAUUAAUAAUGAUUAGCAUGUUCAUGUCACGAGGGGACAGAGAGCAAGAACCGACCAGGGGGUGCUUUGAAACAUUUCCAUCCCAGGGACAGGGAAGGGGCUAUAUGCAUAUACUCGGAUCGCGAUUAUUAAUUGCAAUCCAAAAUAGGGGCUAUAUGCAUAUAUUAAGAGGGUUAAAUACAAAUAUUUGUAAUAUCGAUCCGAUUCAGGGGGUUUUCUGGCCGGCGACAUGGCUCCCGGCGAGAUCGCGCCGCCUCCGGCGAGCCCUGCUGGCGGCAGCAAACUCCGCCGUAGUCAUCCAAUUUGCUCUGUUCGGCUGACUGUGGCUGGUGUUGAUUUGUUGUAAAAAAAAUACUGCUGGCUGGCUAAUGUUGAGAGAAAAACACUACUGGCUAGUUGGCUGACAAGCUAGUCGAACAAAGCGUAUGGUGAAAGGAAUCUGAUUGCAUUUCAAUUGCCAAAAUUGCUAGUACGAGCGUUGCAGUCAGAUAUAGAGUUCAGAUAGAGUUCAAAACAAUACCUGAUUGACUAAAGCAGUUCAGCUGGCCUUAGUAGUCAGAUAUAUGUAAAGAAAAAAAAGUGAUGUAACAGCCUACUCAGUGCCAACGAGUGCACGUUUCUCUUCAUAAUACAAACACACCAUGUAGAAUCUGCAUGUUCA